GCUCCAAGCCUCCAUCUUCCAGGUGGAGGGUGGGGAGGAGAGAGGGGAGCCAGGGGUUUGUGAACCAGAGUGCUGCUGGGGACGGGACAUCUAGGAAGAGGGAGCUUCGGGUUCCCACCUGGGGCAUCUUGACUCUCUCUUGGCUUCUUGCCCUACCAGAGGGAUAGAGAGUGGAUGAAUGGCCAUAUCAGCUCUUCUCUUCUUUGAGCCCCUGGAGGUAGUUCUUUUUUUUUUUUUUUUUUUUUUUUUUUGAGAUAGAGUCUUGCUUUGUCACCCAGGCUGGAGUGCAGUGGCAUGAUCUCUGCUCACUGCAACUUCCGCUUCCCAGGUUCAAACGAUUCUCCUGCUUGAGCCUCCUGAGUAGCUGGAAUUACAGGCACCCAUCAUCAAUGCCCAUCUAAUUUUUUUGUAUUUUUAGUAGAGACAGGGUUUCACCUUGUUGGCCAGGCUGGUCUCAAACUCCUGAUCUCAGGUGAUCUGCCCAUGUUGGCCUCCCAACGUGCUGGGAUUACAGGCAUGAGCCACCACGCCCGACCUGAAGGUAGUUCUUAAAGUCUAGAGUGAUUUCCUUGUGUUAGAAGAAAGAUUGUUAGGGGAGAGAACUGCUGCCUGUUGAAUGUUUCCCACUUGUCAGUCCUGUGCCUGGGUGCUUGGGAACGUGAUGUUAUGGGAAGAAAAGGAAGAGAGAGACAAGUGAUGAUAUUCUUACCUAGCCUCACUAGUAACUAUGUGACUUUAGGCAGGUUGGUUACCUUCCUUGAGCUUCAGUCUUGUCACAAUUAAUUGGGAUGAACACACCUCUAUCAUCAAUAUCUGGGGUCACAGCUCCAAUGUCCCCUGGGGCCAGACUUAGCACCUCACAGAUGCUUGGGCCUGGAAAUGAAGCCAUGAAAAUGAAGCCCUCAGCCUUCUUGGAGAUCAGAGCCAUGGUCCUCACCCACAGCACAUGGGUCUCUAAACCUGGACCUCAACUCGCCCAUCUGUAAAAUGAGGGACUUACAUUAAAUUCCUACAGCUCCUUUCAGCUUGAA